rnacentral:rRNA from 1 species
UACGUAGGGGGCAAGCGUUGUCCGGAUUUAUUGGGCGUAAAGAGCGUGUAGGCGGUCAGGUAGGUCCGUUGUGAAAACUCGAGGCUCAACCUCGAGACGCCGAUGGAAACCAUCUGGCUAGAGUCCGGAAGAGGAGAGUGGAAUUCCUGGUGUAGCGGUGAAAUGCGCAGAUAUCAGGAAGAACACCCGUGCCUAAGGCGGCUCUCUAGUACGGUACUGACGCUGAGACGCGAAAGCGUGGGGAGCGAACAGG